rnacentral:ncRNA from 12 species
GAAUAGCUCAGUUGGUAGGGCGUUUGACUGCUAAUCGAAAGGUUGUAGGAUCAAAUCUGACAGUGU